rnacentral:rRNA from 1 species
GACGAACGCUGGCGGCGUGCUUAACACAUGCAAGUCGAACGGAAAGGCCCUGCUUUUGUGGGGUGCUCGAGUGGCGAACGGGUGAGUAACACGUGAGUAACCUGCCCUUGACUUUGGGAUAACUUCAGGAAACUGGGGCUAAUACCGGAUAGGAGCUCCUGCUGCAUGGUGGGGGUUGGAAAGUUUCGGCGGUUGGGGAUGGACUCGCGGCUUAUCAGCUUGUUGGUGGGGUAGUGGCUUACCAAGGCUUUGACGGGUAGCCGGCCUGAGAGGGUGACCGGCAAAAUGGGGAAGAGAAUACGGCCCAGCCCCCUAGGGGAGGAAGGGGGGGGAAAUGUGGAAAAAGGGGGGGAAGCGUGAGGGAGCACCCCCGGGUGGGGGAUGCCGGCGUUGGGUUUGUAAACCGUUUCCCCCGGGGACGAAGGGGGGGGGAGGGAAAGGGGAAAAAAAGCACCGGAAAACUACGU